CCCAAAUGCACAGAUUCUAUUUCUGUGCCACAAGGCUGCUGUGGUGGGAUGGAGGAGGGGUGGUGCUGGCUACUCACGACUAUCUUUCCUACCCUCUUCAGUGCCUCUUUCAGUGACAUGAAGUUAAAAUCAGAUGUAGGCUGGAGGUAGCUGCUCAGAGCACACAUCUCUUCCCAAUUCCACAGUUCAUGAAGAUCCAUCAAUAGCUUGAAAUCAGCCUUGGUAGGAGUAUUCACAUCUUGAAAACUGAGUUGAAGUUUCGUUCUUCUUACUCAAGCUGGAGUGCAGUGGUGCAAUCUCAGCUCACUGGAACCUCAGCCUCCCAGGUUCAAGCAAUUCUCCUGCCUCAGCCUCCUGAGUAGCUGGGAUUACAGGAGGAUGACUUCAUACUGAGGCAGUGUCACCCUUCUCUAGAAUUCUUGUCAGAGAAGGAGUUGUCAGAAUUUUAAUGGCAAAGAAGUUUGUGAAAAACAUUAAAAUACCACAGUAGAGAAGAGGUUUCACCAUGUUGACUAGGAUGGUCUCGAUCUUUUGACUUCAUGAUCCACCCAUCUCAGCCUCCCAAAGUGCUGGAUUACAGGGAGGAGCUACCUUGCCCAGACAAAAAUGUGCUCCUAGUUUAAAUGUCAUGGAUAAACAGAUUACAAUCAGAAUUCCAUCAGGUGGACAUUUUGAUUACCAAGUAAACUAAAUAGAAGAAAACUGAAGCUUAAAGAGGGUAGAUGAUUUGCCAAGGGUCACAGAACACGUAAGAGGUACAGCUGGAUUCAAGGCCUGUUUGCGUAUUCCCAACUGCUAUGUGGCCAAGAAUAAGUAAGUUUAUGUAACGUUCCAAAGAAACUGCUCAACACCAUGGCUCAUUUUAACCAAGUAAUCUUUAAUAUUGGUACCCUCAUUUAUGAAGGAAAUGAGUGCAGAAAGGACAAGCAGUUUUCCUGAAACCACUUGGAAGUGGAGGAGAAGGGUUUUGAACUGCCAUCAUCUCAAGCUCAUGCUUUGCCACCUCACUACAGUGAAAUGAUUGAAAACUCAAAUCUGCAAACUUUCAAUUUUCAAUCAAAUGGAGAAAAUCUUGGGCAAAUGAAGAGGUCAUGGACAUGGUUUCUCCUGAGAGAAGAACAAGCCUUACAGUUUUUAAGCAAUAAGGCGAUUGCAGUGAACAUACAACAAAGGAACAUCUCAUCUCUUGUUAUUUUUCUACUGCAUGUGUAUUAACAAUUUUUAAAAGAGAAAAUAUGUCUGGACCCAAAGGAAGAAGACACAGCAUACAAGCCAGCACUAAAGCCAGGGAGAUGAAUGUGAUUUCUGAGACUAUGUUUUCUAAAAUAAAAAUAAAUGACAUGUCCAAGUAUUACAUAUUUUAGCAAUUUUCUAUAUUAUACUCUACUAGAUACUAUCUUACUAUCUUUUACUUGUUAUAAUGACAGAGGACAGCAGUGUAACUUCCCAGAGUCCUAAUUUUUAUGGAUACUUGUUCAUAUUUCUGUAUUUCGCUAUUCCUUAAUUUGGAGAUUCAAUGUUAACAUAACUAGUUACUUUUAUUUUGGUUAAAGCAAGGUUAAAAAGUUAAAAAUAGGAAAAUAAGGGAGAGAAAGUCUGAGAAAAUUGCAAAAGGGAAGUGAAUCUAAUUUGGUGAAGGAAAAAUGGGGAAGGGCUAUGAAAACAGGGUAACUUAGAGCAAAGGGAACAAAGAGAGAGAAAUGGCUAAGGAUGACAGUUAUAAAAGAGACCGAGGCCUAUUUUUGCCAUUAUGAAAUGCAGGUCUCUUGCAUAUCCAAUAGAUAUAUUGAAUGUAUGUGUAUUUCCUGAUUCUGAGGCCUUGAACUUGAACUCAGCCAUGCCACCAGUAUCCUGGGUCUCAGCUUGCAAACACCCUGUCAUAGACUUUUCACCCUCCAUAAUUGUGUGAGCCAAUUCCCUUAAUUCCCCUCAUAUAUUUAUAUCUGAUAUCUACAUCUAUAUCUUAUUGAUUUUGUCUCUCUGGAGAACCCUGCCUAAUACACCAGGUGAUGCUGAUGUUGCUUGUCCUGGGACUACACUUUGAGAACCACUGCUCUACCUUAUUAGGUUACCCUAACAUCUAGGAUGAGGACAGUUUCCAUUAUAAAUUGUGUUAUUACCAUAUCAUGUAGAAUCUAAGACUUUUUCAAACCCAUUUUCACAGCUCUGAAUCAGUGUGCAUCCGUAACUAUUUGCAUCUUAUGAUAACUACCCACAAGGAAGUAUUCAUGACAGUGGUGGUCGAUAUUAGUUUCUCCAUGAACUUGUGUUUAGCUGUUCAUAUUAUCUCUUCAGUUGAGUGAUAUCAUUUUUGAGUCACAUAAAUAAUAUCACUUUUGAGUCAUAUCAUGUGUUGAGUUUAAUUGCUGUUUAAAAAAUGGUUUUUAAAACUUACACUUAAAGAAGUACUAUGAUUCGGCAUUAAAGUCACUGUAAAAACCACUGUGAUUUGGCUUUAUAAAUAAAAAUCAUUAAAUACUAAGCUAGCAUAUAAACAGGUGUGGGAUAUAGAUUUGUUAUUAGUGAAGCAGAUGUUCAUUAUUGGAGGAAUUACAGCAGUUUCAGAUUGUUUUGCAAAGUAGCAAUCCAUUGUAUGAAAAGACAGGAGAAAGGUAAUCACAGUGAAGGAAGCUGGGUAUAUACACAUUUGCCUAUUACAGGCCCAGCAAUGCAGCUAAAUGAAGGCAGAAGAAAUUGCUAAUCCUAAAUAGAAAUAUCAAAAAAGAUUAGUAGCUGGUGUGAAUAAUUCAUAGAU